UGGGGAAUAUUGGACAAUGGGCGAAAGCCUGAUCCAGCCAUGCCGCGUGUGUGAAGAAGGUCUUCGGAUUGUAAAGCACUUUAAGUUGGGAGGAAGGGCAUUAACCUAAUACGUUAGUGUUUUGACGUUACCGACAGAAUAAGCACCGGCUAACUCUGUGCCAGCAGCCGCGGUAAUACAGAGGGUGCAAGCGUUAAUCGGAAUUACUGGGCGUAAAGCGCGCGUAGGUGGUUUGUUAAGUUGGAUGUGAAGUCCCCGGGCUCAACCUGGGAACUGGAUUCAAAACUGACUGACUAGAGUAUGGGAGAGGGUGGUGGAAUUUCCUGUGUAGCGGUGAAAUGCGUAGAUAUAGGAAGGAACACCAGUGGCGAAGGCGACCACCUGGACUAAUACUGACACUGAGGUGCGAAAGCGUGGGGAGCAAACA
rnacentral:rRNA from 1 species